AUGAAUGUAGUGAAUGCCAUUAAAUUUGGCUACAGGUGGCUAGUAGGUGAUGGUAAGCAAAUCAGGUUUUGGGAAGGUACCUGGUUUGGCACUUCCCCCUUAGUUGUUCAAUAUUGCCCCCUAUAUGCUAUUUGCAAGGAGAUCUCAAAAACUAUCAGUGAGAUCUGGGAUGGGGCCCAGGUCAAGCUCUCUUUCAAAAGAAAUUUUAUUGAUAAGAUGAUGGAAUCUUGGUACCAACUAGAGGAGAUUUUUAAGAAAAUCACCCUGGUUGAUGAAAUAGACUCCCCGGUCUGGCAACUAGACAGUAAAGGAGUGUACUCUAGUAGCUCUCUAUAUCAUGUGAUUAAUUUUAGAGUGGUGAAACCGGUGUUCAUCCUACUGUGUGGAAACUGCUGCUGCCACCCAAAAUUCAUAUUUUCCAUUGGGUAG
rnacentral:rRNA from 1 species